AGAACGAACGCUGGCGGCAGGCCUCAAACAUGCAAGUCUAGGGGGUGUAGCAAUACAUCACCGGCGGACGGGUGCGUAACGCGUGGGAAUGUACCUAUUGGUUCGGAACAACUGAGGGAAACUUCAGCUAAUACCGGAUGAGCCCGAAAGGGGAAAGAUUUCUCGCCAAUAGAUCAGCCCGCGUCCGAUUAGCUAGUUGGUGGGGUUAAAGCCUACCAAGGCGACGAUCGGUAGCUGUUCUGAGAGGAAGAUCAGCCACACUGGGACUGAGACACGGCCCAGACUCCUACGGGAGGCAGCAGUUGGGAAUCUUGGACAAUGGGGGAACCCUGAUCCAGCUAUGCCGCGUGAGUGAUGAAGGCCUUCGGGUUGUAAAACUCUUUCGGACGGGACGAUAAUGACGGUACCCGUAGAAGAAGCUCCGGCUAACUUCGCGCCAGCAGCCGC
rnacentral:rRNA from 1 species